rnacentral:lncRNA from 1 species
AGUGUUCAGAGGAUUGGCACACCAUCACAGAGCAUAGAUUACUAUUGCAUCCAUACACCUUUGACAUCUCUGGCCUAUGGAGACCCUUUGAGAAUGGAUCUUGCCUAUAUGCAUCUAUGUUUCCCUGCCUUCAGAGGUCUGAUACUUGGGAUUUUUGUGAAUCACCCAGCACCGUCCAUCUGGAAAGCCAGUAGGCACCCUCUCAUCUACAUUCUGCCCAUUUCUCUCAUCUUCUCUUUCCUUGGCUUCAUGAUAUUCACAGGCCAUUCACACUCAGACAUUUUUAUCGUGAGGCAAACCAUGUUCAUAGGUGCAUAGACUGAUUUUUUUUCCCUAAACUUUUGGCCAAGUAGAUCUUGGUUCUGGAUUUCAGAGUG